AGUGUGAGUACACAGUUCAGGUGAUGCUGCAGUGUGAGUACACAGUCCAGGUGAUGCUGCAGUGUGAGUACACAGUCCAGGUGAUGCUGCAGUGUGAGUACACAGUCCAGGUGAUGCUACAGUGUGAGUACACAGUCUAGAUGCUGCUGCAGUGUGAGUAUACAGUCCAGGUGAGGUGCCGUGAACUUUCUCAGGGUCUUGUCCUCCCAGGAUAUGCUGACAAGAGGAGAGGCUGCUGGACGGAUUGUCACAGAGAAGCCAUUCAUAACUUCAUUAUUUCCUGAAGUGAUUUACUCCCUUUAGGUUCAAAAUUCAGUAAAAGUGACCCUGAAAUGACGUUUAUUUUCCGAUAGUGUAUUAGAAUUUUAUAGGAUGGUUUAAGGAUCUGUAAUUAAAAGUGCUAUACACUUAGUGCGAAUCUGUUUGUUGAGAAAUUGAUUCCUUUUGAAGGAAAGCUGCAAACUUUUCUUGUAUGGGUAAAUGUCACUCUAUUCAUAUCUUCACUUAGCUGCAAGUCAGUAUGUGUUCUGUUCCACCAGGUUGUCAUAGCAACACAGUUAACUGUCAUCUCAGCUCAGACUGUUGAUGGUUUUAUUUGUAGGUUUGUAGGAUUAUUAAAAUUUAACAAAAUUAUUGAUUUACUUUUUAUUAACACAGAGUUAUUUACCAUGAAAGUUCAAGCUGCACAAAGGUUUUUUUUUCUGUUUAAAUUUUUUUCCAAAAAUUAAAGUGAAACUAGAUAUUAAAUCCUUGUGAUUAAAUUUUUUUUUAUUUAAAAUGUAAUAUAGAGUCUGCAGGAGGAGAAUAACCUCUGUGAAUUGUAGUUUUUAGUCAUUUCCUAUUUUCUUUUUUCUGACAAGGAGGCAAGGAGAAAAAAAGGCCUUAAAAUUCACCUUUAGCUUGCUUUUAACUAAACAUAAAGGAUACCUGUCAGGAAGCGUGAAAUGGUACAUAAAGUGCCUAAUACUGAGGUUUCAUUUUAUUUAUGGUUUUUGAAACCUUGUGGGAAUGCUUCACUGAACUGUGUUGUAAAAGUAUUUAUUUUGGUAUAUUUAUGUGGGAGAAAUUACUUAGUUUUCACUUAUAAGUAAGGCAGGCAAACCUUAUUUACAGUAAGCUUAUCUAAUGGUCCGUGGAUGAGUGCUUUUAUGCAAAAUAGUCGGGAGGCCAGAAUUAGCUUUCACAGUGAGUGCACAUUUGAUGUCCACACUUGAGCAACAUGUGGCAUCUUAUUCUAAGGGCUGCUGUUCGGGAUUCAAUUUGUAUUUAACACACUUACCUCGCAACACACAGCUCACCUGCAGGACAUCUAGUGUCUCCUCUAGAGCAUCUCUUUCUUCCUGGGAGAUGCAGAGGGUUUAUUGGUUUUAUAAUCUUUCCUGUUUAUUUUUUAAAGACUUGAUUAAUUAGCUGUGUUAUAUUACACGCUAAAAUAGAUCAGUUUGGGGAUGUUAUGUUUUCU